rnacentral:rRNA from 1 species
UACGAAGGGAGCGAGCGUUGUUCGGAAUCACUGGGCUUAAAGCGUGUGUAGGUGGAUUGGUAAGUAAGGAGGGAAAUCCCAGGGCUUAACCCUGGAACUGCUCUUUAGACUGCCUGUCUGGAAUUCGGAAGAGGUUGGUGGAACUCCCAGUGUAGAGGUGAAAUUCGCAGAUAUUGGGAAGAACACCGGUGGCGAAGGCGACCAACUGGUCCGACAUUGACACUGAGGCACGAAAGCGUGGGUAGCAAACAGG